rnacentral:rRNA from 1 species
GCGAGAAAGCCUCUUCGGGGGUGAGUACAGCGGCGGACGGGUGAGUAACACGUAAGAACCUACCCCUUAGUGAAGAAUACUCUCGAGAAAUCGAGGUUAAUGCUGCAUACGUCCCUUCGGGGAGAAAGGUGGCUUUUAUGCUGCCGCUAAAGGAUGGGCUUGCGGGCUAUCAGUUUGUUGGUGAGGUAAUGGCUUACCAAGACUAUGACGGCUAGCCGGCCUGAGAGGGUGUUCGGCCACAUUGGAACUGAGAUACGGUCCAGACUCCUACGGGAGGCAGCAGUGGGGAAUAUUGCGCAAUGGGCGAAAGCCUGACGCAGCGACGCCGCGUGGAGGAUGAAGGUUUUCGGAUCGUAAACUCCUGUCAGGUGGGAAGAAAAGUCUUUCCUUAAUAUGGAAUAGAUUAUGACGGUACCACCAGAGGAAGCACCGGCUAACUUCGUGCCAGCAGCCGCGGUAAUACGAGGGGUGCAAGCGUUAUUCGGAAUAACUGGGCGUAAAGGGUGCGUAGACGGCGCAUUAAGUCUGUUGUUAAAUCCUCCGGCCUAACCGGAGAACUG